rnacentral:rRNA from 1 species
UCCUACGGGAGGCAGCAGUGGGGAAUAUUGCACAAUGGGCGAAAGCCUGAUGCAGCGACGCCGCGUGCGGGAAGAAGGCCUUCGGGUUGUAAACCGCUUUCAAUUGGGAAGAAGAGAUGAGCGCUAAUAUCGCUCUGAUUUGACGGUACCUUUAGAAGAAGCACCGGCUAAUUUCGUGCCAGCAGCCGCGGUAAUACGAAAGGUGCAAGCGUUGUUCGGAUUUACUGGGCGUAAAGAGAUCGUAGGUGGUUUGUUAAGUCGGAUGUGAAAUCCCAAGGCUCAACCUUGGAACUGCAUUCGAUACUGGCAGGCUAGAGUUUGGGAGGGGUAAGCGGAAUUCCGUGUGUAGCAGUGAAAUGCGUAGAUAUACGGAGGAACACCUGAGGCGAAGGCGGCUUACUGGACCAAUACUGACACUGAGGAUCGAAAGCGUGGGUAGCAAACAGGAUUAGAUACCCUGGUAGUCCACGCCCUAAACGAUGUCAACUAGCCGUAGCGGGUAUCGACCUCUGCUGUGGCGAAACUAACGCGAUAAGUUGACCGCCUGGGGAGUACGGUCGCAAGAUUAAAACUCAAAGGAAUUGACGGA